GGUCCAGUGAGGCCAAUUUUUUCCAUUCAAAAAUUGUUAAGGAAGUUGAGGGGCUCUCUUCCUCCUGCCAAAUUCGAGGAAAUAGUAACUUCAUACUGUUCAUAUAGGGCUGGAGCAGGGACCAAGGGUGAUUUUACUAAGAAACUGCGACUGGUUGUUGGCGAUGACGAGUUUCUGAAAUCUGCUGUUAUGGAAAUUGGUUCUAACUCAUUUCAAAGUAUCCAGCAUUUGAAUUACUGAUUCAUUUGCCCCUGUCAUUUUAUAAAAGAAAAGGAUUAGGAUAAGAAAGGAAAUGCUUAGUCCGCACACUAACCCACAGUACAUGUAGCAAUCGUGGUUGACAAAUUAAAGAGUUUACAGUUCACAGUUCACAGCUUCAGAUUUGUUUUACCACCGAAGAUUUUACUCUGGUUAUAAAAAUUGCAACUUGGAGAAGAAAUGAGCAUCAGAGUUCUUCAGUGGUUUUUAGCCUAGAGAUGAUAAUGUGAAUGGUAUAAAACAUCUUAUACUGUGCCGGCCCCGGUUCAUACUGGGAAAUAUUGAACAUGUGAAAGCAGGAUUUCAUCUCA